rnacentral:rRNA from 1 species
GACGAACGCUGGCGGCGUGCUUAACACAUGCAAGUCGAACGGAAAGGCCCUGCUUUUGUGGGGUGCUCGAGUGGCGAACGGGUGAGUAACACGUGAGUAACCUGCCCUUGACUUUGGGAUAACUUCAGGAAACUGGGGCUAAUACCGGAUAGGAGCUCCUGCUGCAUGGUGGGGGUUGGAAAGUUUCGGCGGUUGGGGAUGGACUCGCGGCUUAUCAGCUUGUUGGUGGGGUAGUGGCUUACCAAGGCUUUGACGAGUAGCCGGCCUGAGAGGGUGACCGGCCACAUUGGGACUGAGAUACGGCCCAGACUCCUACGGGGGGCAGCAGGGGGGAAUAUUGCACAAUGGGCGGAAGCCUGAUGCAGCAGCGCCGCGUGCGUGAUGACGGCCUUCGGGUUGUAAACCGCUUUCGGCUGUGACGAAGCGUGAGUGACGGUAAUGGGUAAAGAAGCACCGGCUAACUACGUG